UCGAACGGUAAGGCCCUUCGGGGUACACGAGUGGCGAACGGGUGAGUAACACGUGGGUGAUCUGCCCUGCACUUCGGGAUAAGCCCGGGAAACUGGGUCUAAUACCGGAUAGGACUGCGCGGUGCAUGCCGUGUGGUGGAAAGAUUUAUCGGUGCAGGAUGGGCCCGCGGCCUAUCAGCUUGUUGGUGGGGUAAUGGCCUACCAAGGCGACGACGGGUAGCCGGCCUGAGAGGGCGACCGGCCACACUGGGACUGAGACACGGCCCAGACUCCUACGGGAGGCAGCAGUGGGGAAUAUUGCACAAUGGGCGCAAGCCUGAUGCAGCGACGCCGCGUGAGGGAUGACGGCCUUCGGGUUGUAAACCUCUUUCAGCAGGGACGAAGCGCAAGUGACGGUACCUGCAGAAGAAGCACCGGCCAACUACGUGCCAGCAGCCGCGGUAAUACGUAGGGUGCAAGCGUUGUCCGGAAUUACUGGGCGUAAAGAGCUCGUAGGCGGUUUGUCGCGUCGUCUGUGAAAACCAGCAGCUCAACUGUUGGCUUGCAGGCGAUACGGGCAGACUUGAGUAUUUCAGGGGAGACUGGAAUUCCUGGUGUAGCGGUGAAAUGCGCAGAUAUCAGGAGGAACACCGGUGGCGAAGGCGGGUCUCUGGGAAAUAACUGACGCUGAG
rnacentral:rRNA from 1 species